GUGCCAGCAGCCGCGGUAAGACAGAGGGUGCAAACGUUGUUCGGAAUUACUGGGCGUAAAGCGCGUGUAGGCGGCUCGGAAAGUCGGGUGUGAAAGCCCUGGGCUCAACCCAGGAAGUGCAUUCGAAACUCCCGAGCUCGAGUCCUGGAGAGGAUGGUGGAAUUCUCGGUGUAGAGGUGAAAUUCGUAGAUAUCGAGAGGAACACCGGUGGCGAAGGCGACCAUCUGGACAGUGACUGACGCUGAGACGCGAAAGCGUGGGGAGCAAACAGGAUUAGAAACCCCUGUAGUCC
rnacentral:rRNA from 1 species